GACGAACGCUGGCGGCGUGCCUAAUACAUGCAAGUCGAACGCAGUGGGGACGGGUGAGUAACACGUGGGUAACCUCCCAUCAGAGGGGAUAACACUUGGAAACAGGUGCUAAACCGAUACUGAUGGAUGGACCCGCGGUGCAUUGGCUAGUUGGCUAGGUAACGGGUCACCAAGGCCACGAUGCAUAGCCGACCUGAGAGGGGGAUCGGGCAAACUGGGACUGAGACACGGCCCAGACUCCUACGGGAGUCAGCAGGAGGGAAUUGUCGGCAAUGGACGAAAGUCUGACAGAGCAACGCCGCGUGAGUGAAGAAGGUUUUCGGAUCGUAAAACUCUGUUGUUAUAGAAGCGGUAUCUAACCAGAAAGCCACGGCUAACUACGUGCCAGCAGCCGCGGUAAUUC
rnacentral:rRNA from 1 species